AUGAAGCAUAGCCUUCAGCUGGGGGCAUUUAAGACGCAGCGCACACAGCCCAGGCCACAGCUGCAGGACCUGGGGGUGGACCUUGAAGAGUUCAUAAGGAUGAAGCAGCCGCCCUCGAGAGAGCAGAGGCAGUGGCGGCGGCGGCGGCGGCGGCACGGUCACACGGUCACACAGUCACACCUGCCAGCAAACAAUGCUGCUAGUGACGCUCAAGCUGUGUGCUGGGAGCUCCUACAGACACAUGCGCAACAUGAAGGGGCUGAGGCAACAGGCAGUGCUGGCCAUUGGUCAGGUGCUGAACUGGAGGCACUGGGGGGCCCCACCUCCAACACAUGGAUCAGCCAGGUGCGGCGUCGGAGCUCUCUGCUUGAGCCGAGCAGGGUCCCACUUGCAUGGUGUUUCAUCCCCUGGCCGGAAGUCCCUCCAAGGCCAAACUCACUUGACUGCUCAGUAUGGACCUCAAGGGGUGGCUGCCAAAGACCAUCAUCAACCAGGUCCUAUCUCAGACCCAGGUGGACUUUGCCAACCACCUGCGCAAGCAUCUGGAGUCCAGCUCUGCCUCUAAAGCCAGGUGUUGAAGACCAGCUUGCUGCUCCCAGCUGUGCCACACCUCAAGGCUUGCGCGCGCACUGGAGACCCCUGCUGCCAGCCAGCAGGCCCGUCCAGGAUCUCAGCUGA
rnacentral:lncRNA from 1 species